GGAAGACAUCCCGACCUCAUCCCUCCCGGAACGGAUCCUGGCAAGGCGAUGACGCGAGGCGGAGCUGGCGGCGCCGCGAGGUGGCGGCACGGCACAUCCCCGAUGGCCACGACUGCGACAGUGACGGCGACGACAACCGCAUCCCGUUUGACGUCCACGCUCUCCGUCCCCUUCUUGCCGGGCUUCGCCGGUUUACCUCCUGCAAGUAAUUGAUUACUUCUACAAGUUUGGAUUAACAAGACUCUCUCCUAGAUGCUACUAUAUGUUACCAGAUGCUGAGUCAUGUCAUGGUUCCUGUCAGUGAUGGAAUGGUUCAUUUGAUUAAAAAUGUUUGGUAUGCAACAACGCGUACCUGAGAAAUUCACGAUGUUUCCUAUGUUGGUAGUUAUUCAUGUUUUUCUCACUUGAUUAAAAAUUGUGUAUGGCUGAAGUUGUUUUCUCACAAAGUUUCAGUGAACAAUGUCCUGCAGCAAAUAUUUAUCUGAACAACGUGAAUUGAACAUUGUAGUUUAUGGUGACAUUGUGUAUGGCUGAAGUUUUGAACUGAAGUGACAGGAUCCAAUCCUUUGCUGCCGAACGCAUGAUAAUUGCUUGCUUAGAAGCAUUCCUGAUGGAUUAAUUCCACGCCGGGAAUGAGUGAAAGGGCCGGAUCCACUGAUUAUAUAUGAAUUAAUUAAAUUAAUUCAACUGGAGGUUGAUAGUUUAUUUGUUGGGGAAGAGUCGAUCCUUCUCAUUUCAGGAUUGAUCAUCUUGAGUUCUCUGUUGAGAAUCCCGGCCUGGAACCGUUCCUGGUCUGGAACCAUUCCUUUGCUGCCGAACGAGGCCUUAAGGGGUUUAACCAAAAAUGGUGCAGAUGGAUUGAAAAUUUUGUUUCAGGAGGGAGUGUGGGCAUCAAAGUUAAUGAUGACAUUGGGCACUACUUCUAAAAAAAAAGUCUUAGACAAGGAGAUCCUAUAUCACCAAUAUUAUUUAAUAUUGUGGCAGACAUGCUCUCUAUUUUGAUUAAGAGAGCAAAGGAAGAUGGCCAAAUUAGAGGGGUCAUUCCUCAUUUGGUGGAUGAUGGGUUAUCUAUUCUGCAAUAUGCAGAUGAUACAAUCAUAUUCAUGGAUCAUGACUUGGAGCAAGCUAAAAAUACGAAGGGUGGUGCAAGGUGCAACAGCUACGGCAUAACUGUCAAACAUGUUGUUCGAUGGUGGCGCUAUCCAGCGAUCGAUGGUUGUUUUUCGGCUGUGUCGUGCUUUGUCAUUGAAUUGUUAGUGAGUUGUGUUUCUCUCCUCUCUGUGUUGUACCCUGGUGUUGUAUCCUUAUGCUCAUGUUCUUCUGGGUGUUCAAUGGCCCAACGCUUGUAAGGUGCUUUGCACCAAAACCAUCACCGGCUAGCCCGGCAUCUGUGGUUUAAUGAAAUUCAGGUGGGACUUUUCAUCCA